AACGAACGCUGGCGGCAGGCUUAACACAUGCAAGUCGAACGGCUGUAGCAAUACAGCAGUGGCAGACGGGUGAGUAACACGUGGGAACCUUCCUAGGGGGUACGGAACAACUCAGGGAAACUUGAGCUAAUACCGUAUACGUCCGUAAGGAGAAAGAUUCAUCGCCCCUAGACGGGGCCCGCGUCGGAUUAGGUAGUUGGUGGGGGUAACGGCCUACCAAGCCUGCGAUCCGUAGCUGAUCUGAGAGGAUGAUCAGCCACACUGGGACUGAGACACGGCCCAGACUCCUACGGGAGGCAGCAGU
rnacentral:rRNA from 1 species